rnacentral:lncRNA from 12 species
CUAAAUGUGAAAAAAUUAAACCUUUCCAGUAAACAUGACCAUGUUCUACCAGAAGCUACCCUCAGGCAGUGCUUGGAAUACUUGGAAAAACUGAGUACAAGAAACCUACGAAAUAAAGGCAUCUACUUUGCUACUACGGUGCUCCUUACUUUGAUUAAGAGGAGAAGAAUGGGAUCUCCUUGUUCAGUCAUUUUAGCAGGUCAGUAGUUGAGAUU